CGUAUUCGUAAGUUUCAACGUGUUCAACAUUUGGCGCAAUUUUCAAGAUCUGCCCCUUUGAGGCGCGGACCGCGAUGCGGGUGGCUGCGGUUGUUUCAGCUGUCUGAAGGCCAGCGUCUUGUGAAGACAUCCCAGCAGUCCUGUUCUGAUGGUGCGCACAAGAGCUGAUGGCAUCAAAGCCGUAGGGGCUAAGGCUCCGCGCAAGGUGGCGGUGUCAUCCCCUAGGGGCGUGUCAUCAGGCAAAGCGAAGGAGCGGGGCGGCGGCGGAAACGCAUACAACCCACAGCCGACGCCGUCCUGGCAGCGACCGGUAGCCAGCUUCUUCGCGCCGUCUCGGCCGGCGGCCGGAGCAGCCAGCCCACCCGAGGGUACCGCCGGUCCGCCCGAGGGGACCGCCGGUC